GGGUUUAUUUGAUUCAUUUCACCAGCAAUCCUGCAUCUUCAACACAGAGGCUAAAUGUAUAGUUUAUCAAUUGGAACUCCGUUACAGAUUUGCCCUCCAUGGACACUUUUGGGACCCUAUACUACAUGUGAGCAGAGAGACAGCACUGGAAGAUGCUUUCCAGCACAUUCGACAAAGUGGGCACGACUUCACAAUGCCUUUGGAGGUGAAGUUUCAAGCAGAGCAUGGUGUAGAUGAAGGUGGCGUUUCACUGGAAUUCUUCAGCCUCCUGGGGAGGGAAAUUCUCACAAUGGAACCAAAGACACUGGAGGUUUACGAGGACUCUGGACUAGUGUGGUUCACGACAGAUGACAGCGGUAUUACUGAUGAAUUCUACUUACUUGGGCUGCUCUGUGGGAUGGCACUGUAUAAUCAGUGUGUUCUGAACCUCUGCUUCCCUCUGGCUCUCUUCAAGAAGCUUCUGGGUCUGACGACAACAUUUGAUGACCUUAAAGAGAUCUCUUUCACUGAAGCAAGGUACAAUUAUUCCAUGGAAAAAUAUAUACAGGUAACUGCCAAAAUAAAGGAAACACCAACAUAAAGUGUCUUAAAGUUCCAAUGCAACCAUUUUUAUCUCACUAUCAAAUCAUAUCUGGGUAACAAUUAAGCACCUUACUGUGAUUGUUUUCAAUUAAAAUGGUCAAAAGAAAGAGAAAUUGCUUCGCAAAGGACAAUUUCUCAAGCAAGAAUUUUGCAAGGACUGUAUAGGAAUGCUCUUAGUGGGGAACGGAAAACUGAAAAUAUGCUGUU